rnacentral:rRNA from 1 species
ACUAGGAAUUUUGCGCAAUGGGGGCAACCCUGACGCAGCGACACAGCGUGGAGGAGGAAGGUCUUCGGAUUGUAAACUCCUUUUAUAUGGGAAGAAUAGAUGACUGUACCAUAUGAAUAAGCACCUGCUAACUACGUGCCAGAAGCAUCGGUGAUGCGUAGGGUGCGAACGUUAUCCGGAUUUAUUGGGCGUAAAGAGAUGCGUAGGCGUUUCAGUUAGUCUUUCGUUAAAAGUCACGGCUUAACCGUGAAGAUGCGUUGGAUACUGCUGAAAUUGAGACAUGAAGGGGUGAACGGAACUCCAAGUGGAGCGGUGAAAUGCGUUGAUAUUUGGAAGAACAUCAGAGGCGAAGGCGGUUCACUGGUCAUUGUCUGACGCUAAGGCUCGAAAGCGUGGGUAGCAAAACGGAUUAGAUACCCUGGUAGUCC